UGCAUGUCUAAGUACACACGAAUUAAAAGUGAAACCGCAAAAGGCUCAUUAUAUCAGUUAUGGUUCCUUAGAUCGUUAACAGUUACUUGGAUAACUGUGGUAAUUCUAGAGCUAAUACAUGCAUUAUAAACACGGACCUUUGGGACGUGUGCUUUUAUUAGGCUAAAACCAAGCGAUCGCAAGAUCGUUAUUAUGGUUGAACUCUAGAUAACUUGCAGAUCGUAUGGUCUUGUACCGACGACAGAUCUUUCAAAUGUCUGCCCUAUCAACUUUUGAUGGUAGUAUCUAGGACUACCAUGGUUGCAACGGGUAACGGGGAAUCAGGGUUCGAUUCCGGAGAGGGAGCCUGAGAAACGGCUACCACAUCUAAGGAAGGCAGCAGGCGCGUAAAUUACCCACUCCCAGCCCGGGGAGGUAGUGACGAAAAAUAACAAUACAGGACUCAUUAUAGAGGCCCUGUAAUUGGAAUGAGUACACUUUAAAUCCUUUAACAAGGACCUAUUGGAGGGCAAGUCUGGUGCCAGCAGCCGCGGUAACUCCAGCUCCAAUAGCGUAUAUUAAAGUUGUUGCGGUUAAAACGUUCGUAGUUGAACUUGUGCUUCAUACGGGUAGUAUAACUAUAAUUGUAGUCUGUACUAUACCUUAUGUAUG
rnacentral:rRNA from 1 species